rnacentral:rRNA from 1 species
GACGAACGCUGGCGGCGUGCUUAACACAUGCAAGUCGAACGAGUGGCGAACGGGUGAGUAAUGUAUGGGGAACUGCCCGAUGGCGGGGGAUAACUACUGGAAACGGUAGCUAAUACCCCAAACCCUCAGAGGUACCCACAUGGGAUUUGCUAGGAGGUGAGGUAACGGCUUACCCUGGCGACGAUCCCUAGCUGGUCUGAGAGGAUGAUCAGCCACACUGGGACUGAGACACGGCCCAGACUCCUACGGGAGGCAGCAGUGGGGAAUAUUGCACAAUGGGCGCAAGCCUGAUGCAGCCAUGCCGCGUGUAUGAAGAAGGCCUUCGGGUUGUAAAGUACUUUCAGUCGGGAGGCGUUACCGGCAGAAGAAGCACCGGCUAACUCCGUGCCAGCAGCCGCGGUAAUUC